UACGGAGGGAGCUAGCGUUGUUCGGAAUUACUGGGCGUAAAGCGCACGUAGGCGGCGAUUCAAGUCAGAGGUGAAAGCCCGGGGCUCAACCCCGGAACUGCCUUUGAAACUAGAUUGCUAGAAUCCUGGAGAGGUGAGUGGAAUUCCGAGUGUAGAUGUGAAAUUCGUAGAUAUUCGGAAGAACACCAGUGGCGAAGGCGACUCACUGGACAGGUAUUGACGCUGAGGUGCGAAAGCGUGGGGAGCAAACAGG
rnacentral:rRNA from 1 species